AGGUUCCACACCCGGUAGAACUCCUUUUGAAGGUUCCUCGCAUCCCGGAACCUUCUUGAACCCAGCUGCAGCCCAUCUAAGUUUACCACCUUUUGCACGAUCCAGUUAUUCAGGUUUUGGGGGACCAAGUAACAGUUUUGGAGAAAUCUCUUCCUUAGGACUAGGGAGUUCUGGUGUUUUUACCAGCCGUGACCAUGGUUCCUCUGGACUCUCUAACAUAAGUGUUGCAUCCCAAGAUCCUUGGACCCAUCUCCAUAGAAACCCCCUUUCAAUUCCUACCCAAUUAGGUUCUGGGGCUACUCCUAAUCCUGCUCCAUGGGGAGGACUGAAGGCAGAAGCAGAGCGAGAGAGGCUACACAGAGAAGACCAGGAAAGAGAACGGAAA